rfam:Photobacterium aquae strain CGMCC 1.12159 contig0002, whole genome shotgun sequence.
UCAUCAUCACCAUCAUCCUGAUUAGUCUUUCGGGAGGAUAAGCCUCGGCCGGGAAGACUUAACACAUCUCUUCCAACGGUCAGCGAUAGCACAGUUUCAAAGACCCUCGGAAGCAAAGACUUCCGAGGGUUUUUUGUU